rnacentral:lncRNA from 1 species
UCCCCCUCGGCCCCCAUCGGUUCUCCAGCUGGAAGGGUGACAGCUUUGGGAGAUGGGGAGAGGGCUUUGUAAAGGAAGACCCCGCUGACCGUGGUGGGCAGAGGGCCACUCGGAAGGUUGGAAAGACCCCCAGUGGUUUUAGGCAAAGGAAGGACGUGUGUCCAUCUCUAGACAAAGACUAACAGCUGGAAACCCUCGGUGGGUUUCAAACUCACUGUUACCUGAUGUUUCACUGCUCCAUGGCUAAACCUCGGGGUGUGACUUCUGGAAUGUGAGGGACUCGGUGGACCUGACUCUGCUGGAGACGUGGGAGCUGGCCCCAAUGCACACAGCAUCCUGGACCCAAAGGAGCCAGGGAAUCAGCUCUCACUCUCCCCUGCCCCCGGACACCCGGAACCGUUGGUGAGCUUCUUGCCGGAUUCCCUCUGAAGGAGCCACCUUUGGCCUCUGGGUCUGAAGAGAAGGUGAACUUACGUUGCCUGCCCUGGGGUCCCAGGCCUCUAACUCUGUGAGAGCGGCCGUGCUGGGGCCCCAGUCCACAGGCGUGGCUCAGAUCCGAGCUCCAUCACUUGUGGGACGGGGUGGGGCUGAAAGCUGGGGCCUGACGUCCUCUUCAGGGCUCAGGCCCAGCUCCCUGGACACGCCUUGCUCGUGGUGGAAGGGCGGAAGGAGGGGAGCUGGCUCUGCCCAGACCUCCUCCGUGGCCUGGCUGGCUCGUGGUGACGCAGGGCCCUUGGGGGAGCCUGCAGGGUGGGCACGAGUCUCUGUCGGAGCCCGCCUCGCUGGCCUGAGCUCUGUCACUCUCUUCCUGCUGCUGCUCGGCCGGGGACUCGGUUUAAGCGAGGGCCGGGCACUGUCUGGCACUGCUCACCAGGGAAGCCCAAGGGCUGUGCUGGAAGUUUCUCUGGAGACCACAGGGGUCCCGACCGCAAGAAGCCUGGAAGGAGACCUCUGGGGUGUGUCUGAGCCUCCCCUCACCCCCUGGCACUGCCCCUUUGACCUGCUGCCACAGCAUCCGGCGAGACGGGGGAGACGGCAGCUGGGACCCACUGUGUCCUUGGAACGAGACGGGCCCCCAUCAAACUCCCUAAUCUUGGCUCAAUUAAACUGAGCACCGACUCUGGAGCAGUUAGAAAUAUGACGGGGGCUUCCCUGGUGGCCCAGUGGUCGGACUCCGCAUUCCCUCCAUAGGACCGCAGGUUCCACGCCUGGCUGGAGAACUAAGAUCCUGGAACUGAGAUCCGCAGCAUGGCCAGUUUUUUUUUUUUUUUAAUUAAAAAAAUAUGAAAACAUUGUUCUACAAUUUUAUGCCCCAAAAUAUUGGCCACUCUAAAUAGUUUAUAUUUUUAAAUGAAUAACUUAAUGACAUCGUUCAUGCAUUUAGAACACUUCAGAAAGCUUUUUGUUUUGGAAAGUUCCACAUACUUAUUGUAAAAGGUAAAGAAAAUAGGAUAAUGAACUCCCACAUACGCAAGAUUCCACUCUAGCCGCUCCCAACCGAUGGCCAAUGUUAUUCUGUCCUUAUUCCUUCCCAUUUCUCUGCCACCUACCUACAUUUUUUAAAAGACAAACCACAGACAGCAUAUAAUUUUAUCUAUAUUUCACUGUUAUUCUAAAGACAAGAAUUCAUUAAAAAAAUAACCAAAUUCCAUUAUCAUACCUACAAAAUUAAUAGUAAUUUUAACAUUAAAUACUCAGUACUCAAAUUUUCAAUUAUCUUAAAAUGUAAGAUUACUUUAAAGUCAUUUUUACUGAGCUACAUUUUUCGUAUAAUAAAAUGUACCUAUAUUAAGGGUGCA